rnacentral:lncRNA from 1 species
GAAGGACGGGAGGGAGGGAGGAAGGAAGGGAGGGAGGGAGAGAGGGAGAGAGGGAGAGAGAGAGAAGUGGUGUUACAGAGAUUGAGGGGUGAUUGUUAUGUUGUGAUAGAUGAAGUUGGAUCCAGUACUGUGGUUAGGGUAAAGGGUAGGUCAACAGAAUAGUAAAUAUAAGUUGUGUGUCCCUCCUCUCCUAUACUGGUGUCUGUAACAGUAAAACACAGGGAAUUCCCUUUUCUGCUCCCUCUGAUAAAUACACCUCCGGGGGAUGAUUUCUGAGUGUUUUUUGUGGGCCUUACACAGAAACACAGAGCAUCAAUGGGCGUCAACUGAGUGUUCUCAGAAUAGCACAGGAAGUGACUUGAUUUGACUAUGACAUCACUUCCAUGUGGGGUGGUCCAGAACAGUUUGUUCAGUUGGAACAAACGGUUUUGCUAAUGUCAUCGGGUGUGUUUAUGUGUGGUAGUCCAUGUUUACCUGUUAAAUUCACCUGUGACGACUUCUCAGUUGAAGCAGAACACACACAGUUCUGAAUCGUUGAAGCUCGCUCCCACCAAUGCUGGAGAACGGUCACUGUUUGGCUGGCCCCAAGGGUGUCUACACAUCAGGCCCUGAGUGUUGCGAGAAACCAGGCCAGCCUGUUCCAUAGACACACCCGACCCACACACACACACGCUCACACACACACGCUCACACACACACACGCACCCCUCUGUAGCUAUCACUCUGUCAGAGCUCCCAUUAGCGUCAUUGUUCCCUUGGUGACAACAGGGUCAGGGGUCACUUAGCAACGGCAGAAUGUUGAGGACAAUUCCUGUGAGGGAGACUGGAGCUCAGUGCUUCUGGCCUUUUGUUCCAGAACAUAGCCUCAAGUCUGAAAAUAGAUAUGGGCUUUAAUAUUUCCACACUGUAUUCCUCCGCAAAGUGAUGACACACUUAGUCAGAUGACGUCAUCCCAGCUGAUGACACGUUAAUGUAUAGAGAAUCUAUUUCCUUCUAUGAUAUGAGGAAGCCGGCGUGAUGUUCUACAUGACACUGAGCAUGAUGGAUCGUCUCCUCUCCUUCUGGCUCGCUGCCAAGAAGGGGUUUACAUGUCUUAGAGUAAGCUUCCUCUUUCCUUAUUCCCUCUCUGAUCAGACAGCACACCGUAAACACAAGGGGUGGUGAUCGAUACAAGCAGUGUGAGAGUUCUUCCCAGUAACAAAUGUUUUUGACAAGGUAAACAGCGGUGAUAAAUGACUAUAGUACUGGAAAAGCACGAGUGUACGUAUAUGACACCACCAGGCUGUGCUGCCAUGUACCUGUGCUUCAUGUAGUACCUGCGUCACACUACCUGUGUACUCUAAUGACCGUUAGAGGAGUGGCCCUAUAUAGUCCUUACAGUGCACUAUAAACUGAAUAAUCAGAUAAAGAUGAUAUUAUGACAAAGCUUAUCAUAUACUGGGAACCACGUACAUAUACGCUGGCAAAAGAACAUUCUGGGACUUGGAUAUGCUUACACCUAUGGCUAGUUUUUCUCUCUCUCUCUCUCUCUCUCUCUCUCUCUCUCUCUCUCUCUCUCUCUCUCUCUCUCUCUCUCUCUCUCUCUCUCUCUCUGGAGUGGCACUGCGACACAGAGUGAUUGAACCUUUAGAUAUUGUGGCGGGCGGAGAUCAAAAACUUCCUGUAGUUAUUGAUUUGUAGGGAAGGAGAGGUGCCUGAGGAAUGAUUUGUAGGGAAGGAGAGGUGCCUGAGGAAUGAUUUGUAGGGAAGGAGAGGAGCCUGAGGAAUGAUUUGUAGGUAAGGAGAGGUGCCUGAGGAAUGAUUUGUAGGGAAGGAGAGGAGCCUGAGGAAUGAUUUGUAGGGAAGGAGAGGAGCCUGAGGAAUGAUUUGUAGGGAAGGAGAGGAGCCUGAGGAAUGAUUUGUAGGGAAGGAGAGGAGCCUGAGGAAUGAUUUGUAGGGAAGGAGAGGUGCCUGAGGAAUGAUUUGUAGGGAAGGAGAGGAGCCUGAGGAAUGAUUUGUAGGGAAGGAGAGGAGCCUGAGGAAUGAUUUGUAGGGAAGGAGAGGAGCCUGAGGAAUGAUUUGUAGGGAAGGAGAGGAGCCUGAGGAAUGAUUUGUAGGUAAGGAGAGGAGCCUGAGGAAUGCUCUUCAGAUGUACAGUCAUUGAUUCUAGAGGUGGAAGAGAGAAGUGCACAGACACCGAGGGCUUUGGACUGGCCGUGAGUCAGCAACCAAACACUGGGCGCCUUUGAGGAGAACCGCUAUGGUGCUGGGGGGAGGUCAGAAAUAGUUGGCUCAUUUACCAUCUGCAUAUCCAACGAUAGAGAAAUUAUAUAUUCUUCUCUGGAGACCGUGACAUAAACUUCUAGCCUAAUCAUCAUUCAUUCGCCUACACAGUACUAUCAGAUGUCUGAACUUGAAGAUUUCUCUCUUGAUAAACAAUGUUGUACAGUCAUAGCGUGGCUGCUGGAAAAUUAGUUUACGGUAAAAAGGAGCUCUCUUUUUGGGAAGUUGCCUUGGCGAUGGGCCAACAGGGAGUCCGUCUGCGGUCAAUUUUUGGGACUUUGUGUGUGUGUGUGUGUGUGUGUGAGUUUUUAUUAUUUGCCACCAUGUUGAAAGACAUUCUGCUUCCUGACAUUUGAGUGUUGUUGUGACUCAGUGUUUGUGGCCUGUGUCAAAAUGAAAAGCAAAUGUGUCCCAUCUCAAAUGGAUUUUAGGGCUUUAGUAAGAAAAUAACAGUCCUCAGUUUGCUGCGGUAGAUGUUUGUCAGAGACUAAGAAUGUACUGUACAGAUAUACUAUCUUAAUUUGACCAGUUUGGCACAGCAGGAAAAUAAUCCUGCAGGAACAGGAAAUGUGAAUUAUUAUGUGGAUUGUAAUUAAUGGAUGUUUUUGUAGGGCUUGAUUCAUAAAAAAUAAAAAAAUGUUUUUAUCAAGUCUGACAAUUUAAAGUGGAAAUGACAUACUUAAGAAGUCUUUUUAAACCUCAAAUACACUACAAUUUGCAUUUCCUGUUGCACCUCAAAAUUCUCUGCGACAACACUAUGAUGAAAUUAUGAUAGCACAUCUGUGUAUAAUUGGUUUACUGUUAACGUGAACCACUUUCUAAAGAUAUGUGAGUUUUGUCUCAGCUUAAUUCCAAGGAGGGUGAUGGUUCCCCCCUUUCCCCUCUCUUGCAAUACACACACACAAACACACACCCUGUCAGUUGGGAGGUGUGGAGAUAAACAGGAGGCUGAUCACAGCAGCCCUGAAUGCCACAUCAUUUAGUGACUCACCCUGCCGUCAUCCAGCCCUCCGGGGGUCACACACGUCACCCAGAGCCCCACAACACAGCCCCUCUUCCUGGCAUGGGCUAACUCUGCCUGCCCCCCCCCCCGGCCUACUCAUCCCUUACUGGCUUCCUGGCAGCCUGCUCCUGAGCCGGAGUUGAAGAGAGUCUCUGUUUUUCCCUCUCGCACAUUUCCAGAGCCUUUCAGUCUCAUACGCAGAAAAACAAGGGCUAUUUUUUUAACCGUGCUCCAAUUAGGCUGUUAAGAUUGUUUAUCUGUUUCCGCGAAAGACGUGUCCUCCCGGCUUGCAGUGGCACAGAAAAUGGACGAAAGUUCGUCCCGUUCCCGGAACUGGAUCCAAACAAAGGCAGAUGUUUAAGAUUCUUUAGAAAGCGAGGAGACGCACUUGUUAUUGUCCUCUUUUUCUCUGACCGUGGAAAAAUACUUUGGAGGGUUAUGGAGAAACGUCAGCCUGCCUUGUGUGUGUUCUGAAAAUCCAGGAACUCUUAAAUCUUAUCUUAUGAUGUGGGCUUAUUUUUGUGUGUGUGUGUGGCAUUCAAGUGUGUGGCACUGUACUGUAUUCCUCGCUUACUGCAUAGAUGCAUGUUCGAUAGUAUUUGAUUAAAAGCCCCUACUUACUCCACAACCAUGAUGGAUGUUCUGUUCUCCCUCCAUCAGACUGAUCUGCCAUUAGCAUAGCUCCACACAGCGGGCCAUCAGUACAGCCUAUUGCUCUGCAUGGCCCAUGCAUGAACCCCUAGUGCAGCUAGCACUCGCGCGCUGAUGCACAUUAACACACACAUGAGCCCAGCGAUACACACUAGGCUUAACCGCAUUAUCUGGAAAGAGGUACUGACAGAGACACUUAUCCAGUAAUGGAGGGUCUUUAUUGGUUAACUCCUGGAAUGGCCCUCAGAGAAUGGCCCCAUCAUCCAGUUUAAUGCCUUAUCACCACAUCUGUACUGAACGUGUGGCAUCAUCUGUCACGGUUCACAUACUGUACAGCACAGGGUCUUUGACGGGGCUGCAGUCUCCUUCAUUAUCAUUACUCAGUUGGCACUCUUGUUUUGUAGCAUCCUACGCAGAUUAACACCCACGCGCACACACAGAAACACACACACCCAAUAUUCACAUCAUGGACACCGGUGCAUGUUGGCUGUGUACCCUAUCACGAAAGAUCUGUUUCAAUGUGCAACCUCCUCCUUUAGCUUCUUCCAUUGACUUUCCAUAGACUUUCUUGAUCAGGAAUCCAAUAAUGAGACUUAAGCCCGAGUUUCCAGGGGUUCUGAAAAGACUAGGAGGGAAGGUAUUAAUCAGUAGUAUGUCAACACUGAUUCACUGUCUCUGAUGAAAUGCCAGUCACUCCUUUGAGCCUCUUCAGCACCACAUUCCGCUACACAGUUCCUGGAACAAUUAUGUCAAUAUAAUGGCUCAGAUGCUAUCUUUACGGGAAUGAAGGAUAAGCUCAGGUCAGUGAUGAUGUAGUCCCAGGGGGAUAGAGGGGUUUGACGUGCUGCCUGUUGAAGACAGCCCAGUAGGGAGAACUUAGAGAGGAGUCAGUCAUCAGGCCUCAUAAAGCUCUGGAUGACUCACUGUUAACACCUCAGCAGUGUGCGCUCUCUAUUCCGCUAUAGUGAGUCCCAUCAGAACAGUGUUUCUCACAUUUAUCAGAUGACUGAUUCGCAUUAUAUUAGAUGUGUUGUCAUGGUGGGAAAGAUGCUCUGACUGAUGACUCAUAAUCCCUUUAACCUCCCACACGUAUCGACACACACACACACACACACACACACACACACACACACACACACACACACACACACACACACACACACACACACACAAUACACACACACACAAAACCCGUAGGUAAGUAAUGCCAUAUCCGGCAGGAGGGGUAACCUUGUCGUCUGAUUUUCAUAAUGGCAGUGAGUAAUUCUUCCUGUGUAAUGAGAACAUCCUUUCCAGAGUCAACCCUCUAUCAUCCCCCAUCUCCUUUCAUCAUUCAUCCUCCUCUUAUGCACCUUGACCACAAUCAACCCUCUCGCAGUCACCCCACAUCCACAGAGCUCCGUCUGUCUGUCUCCUCCUCUUGUGUGAGGCGUUUAUGUGUGUUUGAAACUCAGAGUGGACGACUUGCAGCACAUACCGUUUCCACCCUUUUCUGAAACUAACAAAUUAAUAACCUUGUGUCACUUUUUUGGAUGAGUAUAAGAUGAAGUCUAAUCUCACUAAAUAGGUGUGCCGCAAGGCAGAUGUGCCCAUACAAGUUUGGACAAAAGAAAGAUGCUACUCUACCCAGCAUCGGAAUAGGCCGGCCUCUCCCUGAAAAAGGAAUCUCAUAUAAUUUUCAGGAAAAUUACCCCCCCACCCCACUCCACCACCAUCCAGGCUGUUAUAUAAACACACCACCGUCACUCUCUCUCUUUCUUGCUCUCUCUCUCUCUUUCUUGCUCUUGAUCUUUUUGAAACCCCGAGUGAAGGAAUGGAGGAGCAACAGCAGGAAGGGCGACAUUACUGUCACCCGCAGCAGCUAGGGCCUGCCGGGCUGGUGUGUGGGAGUCUAUCUCUGCAUGUUACUUCCUGGGAGAGAAUGAAACAGAAAGCGCAACGGCCAACCCUCCACAAGGGCUCCUUUCACAUAUGGGGGGGGGGGGGGGGAGAAAGGGAGCGGUAACGUUGAAAUGUGUCUCUUACUUAUUCAUUCAUCCCACAGGGUGUUGUUGUUAGGUUUGAGGUUGGCUUCUCUCUUUCCUCUCCCCUACCAUGCUACGGACUGGUGCUGGUGGGUGACUACUUAUGGUGUGGUUUAUGAGAUGUUAUGCUGCCCCUGGUGUCCAAAGGCAGGAUUGUAGAAAAGUGUCACGUUGUGAUGAUACUGUUCCAUCCAACUGUGUUUUCCUUCUUUACAACAUGCGCUGACAUACACCAUGUUAUAUGGCCAUUAUAGGUCAGCCAACACCCAGCAUUCAGACACCUGUGAUUGACUGUGAGAACCUCUGGGACCAACUGCUAUUAAGCUGUGUUGUCAUGGCAACGGCAUGGUUACGUAAGUGUUUUGGCCUGGUUCUCAUAAUCACAGAGCUCUUUGUGUCCCAGUCGUUUUUUUCGACACUGGACACCCCAGCUGCGAUCUGUUCACUCACUGUACAUUCCUCCACCUGAAUGUGAUAUGAUGAAGAUCAGGUGGGAUCCACAGGUGUGUGUGCUGCCUGCCACGCCCUACGUGAAACACACGUGUGUGUUGGGUGGUCAUGAUGUCAUCGUCAACACUAGCCCCAUUGUAAAUAGAAAUAGGGUUUGGGGAGGUGCAGAGCGGGGUGUCACUCAGUCACAUGGACAGCAGCCUGUGCCCUGCCGUGUCCAUACAUACCUGCAGGACAGGUACAGUAAGCAGGACACAAUAAGGAAGCUAUUGUAAGGCUGAGGCAAGCACUGUCAAACAGGUAAGAUAUCCCGACUAGUGUUUAGUGGCUGUGAGAGUAGUUUGUUUGGUUACUCAUGGAUGUGGAGUGUUUGCCCACACACACACACACACACACACACACACACACACACACACACACUCUGUGGUCAUGUGGUGUUUCUAUGUGUUUUUCCCAGGACCCUUGGCAGGCAGAGAGGUCGCUGAGCUCUGAGAACAACAGUUAGUUGGGUGGGUGAGUAACAUUGUGUUCAUGUUUGUUGGAUGAGUUCUAGAAUAGAACACUAGUAGACUGGUUAGAUGUUGUUACGUAUUUCUUACAGUCAUUUAUUGUUGCUAGAUAAUGAUUGCUGUAAUGAAUUGUGCAUGCAAAAUUUUAUCAUUUUCCUAUACUGUCUAAUAUUGUAAUGUGUUAUGUUUUCUUUAUGUUGACGUGAAGAGAAUAGUAUCUAAAGAUAUUAUAUUAUUCUUAUAAAGUUACUGCAGUUCUUCUUCACAGUUCUACAGUUAAGAGGUAGUGUCCAAAGUGUGGAGGAUGAUGUCACACGUCAGCUGUCCUCAUAGCUGGGCUACCAUGGCAACGACAUUCAUCAGAAUGACUUCCUGCUAAAGCAAAGUACUGUCACGAUCACAUUCUGUACUGACAGAUCACUUUAUACUGAUAAUUAUUGUGUUUGUGUAAGGUUAAGCAUAGAAAUGCUAAGCCAAACGAGUGGACUGUCUUUGUAAAUUUACUUGUCAUCCAUGUCACAACUGCUGCACAGAGUUUCUAAAUAAGCAAAGUAUCCUCCAAAAUCUUUGCUGCUGCCGUGCAUCCACUGCAUCCCUACUGUCCGGCAGGGAAAGUCUUCCCCCAGAGGCUGGUUUCACAUGGUGGUUUAGAUUAAUGUUCCCAGUGUCUAGCACCAUUUGAAAUCAGUGUUCUUGGGGACAGGAGAACAGCACUGUGCCUCUGGUAGUGUCAGUCUACUGGAGCCAUCCUCUCUCUCUCCCCUUUAAAGGAUGACUGAUUUCCUCUGGUGUUUAGAGCCCCUUACAGCCUUCUAGCACCAUUUGAAAUCGGUUAUAAUAACUGGGGAUCAAUGCCUCGAUGUCUUCACGAUGUCUACAUGUCAACUCUACAGUCAAGCAGACAGGAAAUGAAUUGGAUGAAUGUUCAUAUGGUACGUGUCACAGGGUUCUGCUCCACAGAUCCUGGAAUCGAAAUGAGUUGGACGGGAGCUCAUUUCCAGUGGGACAGUUUUAAAGUUUUUAUUGAAUAAAUGUUCAAUAAAACUGAAUUGAUAUUGCAUACUUAUCUUACUUUUUCCUGUGUGUAUGUUAUCACAUUUGUGUCCGUGGUUCUGAACCUGCAUGUGAACUAUAUAACCCUGUUCUGCUAGGUAUAAAACUUAUCCGAGCUCAAGGGAUCAUAACAAGUCUUUUCACAAUACCCUCACUCAUAACAGAUUUAAUCACUGUUAUAUCUAGAAGCACUCAACACAAUCCAACACUUACUUUAUAACGUGAUAAUGGAAACAGGAAAGGCCUUUUAUUGCAGGACUUGUCCCAGACACUGCACAGAACCACAGAAGAUAGCGUCUACUGAGUACGGAAUCUUAAACCGGGAAAGUUCCUGUUCUGUAAUGUGGAUGAAUGAGUUCCAAGGAAGCCUGAUGUUCUCAAUAAGGUUUUAAAGUUGUGGAAGUUUAUCUUAUCUCUGCUCAGUGUCCCUGUCGCCUGUGUUACCAUGUCACUCUCCGGGUCUGACAAGACAUGCAGUGCACAACUGGCAUCUAUUCAUUUAGUGUGUUGUUAGGUGUAGAUAAAGGUGUGGUUGGAUAGGGCGACGGCAUUGAUGGUGGUUAGCAUGGUAGUAUGAACAUGAUCAUGGAUUUGAACUUGGAGACCAUCCCAGAGAAUGCAGUUGAACUGGGAGAGGAAGAGGAGGAGGCAAAGGAAGAAAAAUAAGUGCCUCUCCACAUUCAAGCGCUCCAGUAGUACAACUUGGACCCGAGGUCAUUCUGUGUACAUGAUUAUUAGCUGAGAUACUAUGCAAUUUCAACUCACAUCAUUCUUUUAGAACCUGCCAUUAUUCCAUAAUGAGCUAUUUCCCUCAAAUCAAUGGGGUUUUAAUGGAGCCUAGUUGUCCUAGCAUCUCUCCCAUUGCCCUAGGGCACUGCAGUAGUACACUUUUCCUUUCACCUUGGUGGCCUUGUAUGAGUCAAAUGCAAACAGACAUCAAUGCCACCAAUAUAUUACCUGACUGUAUGGGCGUUUCAACCCCCAUAGGUGAGCUUUUCACAGGUGGUUGGUGGUACCCUAAUUGGGGAAGACACGCUCGUUGUAAUUGUUGGAAUGGAAUGACUGGUAAGAAACACAUCAAACCUGUGUUAUUAUGAGCCAUUCUUCCCUCACCAGCCUCCUGUGGAGCCUGUAUUGGCUAGGUUGAAGACAAAAUAGGUAAGGACAAGUUGCAUUCAUGAAAUUAAACAGAUUCCUGUUUAUUCUAGUUGAUAACAAGCAUCGCCUGG